rnacentral:rRNA from 1 species
UGGGGAAUAUUGCACAAUGGAGGGAACUCUGAUGCAGCGACGCCGCGUGAGUGAUGAAGGACUUCGUUUCGUAAAACUCUGUUCUAUGGGAAGAAAAGGACUGUACCAUAGGAGAAAGCUCCGGCUAAAUACGUGCCAGCAGCCGCGGUAAUACGUAUGGAGCGAGCGUUGUCCGGAAUUAUUGGGCGUAAAGGGUGCGCAGGCGGCUUUACAAGUUGGAUGUGAAAUAUUGUGGCUCAACCACAAACGUGCAUCCAAAACUGCAAAGCUUGAGUUAAGGAGAGGUAAGUGGAAUUCCUGGUGUAGCGGUGGAAUGCGUAGAGAUCAGGAGGAAUACCGGUGGCGAAGGCGACUUACUGGACUUAAACUGACGCUCAGGCACGAAAGCGUGGGGAGCAAACAGG